UUGAACCUGGAUGAUGUGAAGGAUGACCCACACUGAAUUACUUCAGAAACAAACACAGACAUUGUACACAUCCUGAAGUGAUGCAACAGGAAGUACUCGCUACUCUGACAGGCUCUCAGAAAGAAUCAUGAAUUAAUCAGGGCUCUGACCUACCUACAAGUUUAUAGGCCAGAGGUCUGAUGGUCACUCCAAAUAGGUCAAUGGGGAUCAAUGAACAAACUUCACUUGCACCCUGAUUUGAACAAACCCAACUUGAAAACUGACUCAAUCGGAGAAACCUGAAUACUGACUAGUAUUAAAGGGACAAUGAUUAUGUUUAUAUUUGCUCAUAUUUGAUCUUAUUGACAUCUUAAAUUGUUCUUAUCUUUAGAAACAAAUAUUGAAGUAUUUGCAGUUGAACUAAUAUGAUGUAUGGAAUCAAAAUCCAUGGGGGCAGGGAGCAGACAGAUAAAGCCAGAGUGGUCAUUUGAAAUCACUGUGAUGGCAGUUCACUAAAUUCUCAACUUUCACAGAUGGUACACGCUUCCAUAAUAAAAAGGUCUUGAAGAUUUCCUUGCAACUUCCUAUCUCAUGUUACAUGACUUCCCCAAACCUCCAUCCUCUCACCUCCUAAAACUCCUGGGGUUGUUCUGGUACUUUCCUCUGCCACACUAGCCUUCUGGCACUCCCCUGAGCCCCUUGCCAGCAUAUUUCUACCACAGGGCUUUUACACUUUCUGUCCCCUUUCCCACAAGGCUCUCCCAUAGGCGUUUGCAUGACUUGUGUUAAGUUGGUGCCUAAAUGUCAUCUCACCUGAGAACCCUUCCCUCACCCUCCUACUGAAAAGAGUCCCCAUCACUGUCUGUCUUCUAUCAUGUCAAUUAGUUGACACUGAAUUAUACAGCAGCAUGUCCAUUUACUGUGGAUCACAAGUUACAUGAAGGUCAAAAUUUGUUCGGUUAGCCACUGGGUUCUAGCUCAAAGAAUAGAAGCCUAGUUCAAACAAUACAUUGAAUGAGUAAAAGAUAUUAUUUGUCUUUCAUACAUUUGCUUGACUCGUGAAUUAUAAAGAGAAUUCCCAAGAUUCUUAUUAGCCUAAUGAUCAAAUGAUUUUCACUUUGUCCAGAAGGUUUAAAAGCAGGGAUGUGGAUCACAGAAGACACAAAGGCAAAUUCAUACAGCAUUCUUCUCAGGGCAGAGUCCUUAGACAUCUUUCUCCUGGUUGAAAUAACCAGGAAGGAUGUUAAUUUAUAAUAUGUUCAUUAUAGAAAAGCUAUUGGAUCCCCUCUUACAUGCUUCUGUCUUUAUGAUCUGCAAGCCACGCUCAAGUUUAAAGAACCAUUUUCUAUUUCCUUCAAGUUAAUUCUCAAUAUUCAAUUCCAAUGUGUCUAGCACUAUGCUAGGCUGUGGGGUUACAGGAAGGACCUAGACAGAACUAGGGAGAGCUAAAUCUAAACAGGAAGAAAAUAAAAUCCCUAACAGUGAAAAUUACUGACUGGGAGAACCAGGUAUGAUGAACAUGCCUGUAAUUCCAGCACUGAACUGGCAGAGGAAGGAGUCAGUAGUCCAAAAUGAUCCUCAUCACACAGUGAGUUCAAGGCUAGUCUAGGUGAUGUGAGAUCCCAUCUCAUACUCCACCCUAGAAGAUUUUAUUGUAUCUAUACUUUAAUCCAACAUGUUGGCAAUACAGUUUUAUGAUUAUUAUAUAUCUAGGGCACAUAAAAUAUGCUAAUGUUUCUGUCCUUCUUGAGACAUGUAUUAAAUUUCAUAGGAAAACCAUUUUGACAGGUAGUUAGAUAUUUUCCCUAAAAACAUACACAGAGAAAACAGAACAGUAUAACAAAUGCCAGUAUACUCAUCCCCUAGAUUUAAACAUAAUUAAUGUGUCUUUAUUCUGGUUCUAUCUAAACAUGAUUAUUAAAACUCCAUCCUGCAUUCCCUCCUCCAAACACUGCUACAUUCUCACACUUCAGCACUAUACAAACAUGCUUUCUUGAAUCUUAGUCAGUAUUCUGUGCUGCCUUCUAACCAAAGCUUAAUAUUUUCCCAACUCAAUUUAAUAAUGAAGAUUGUAAUUUAAGAGGUCAAGAAAAAUAAAUGACAGCUCCAGAAUUCCCUGGUGCCAUUUGAUAAAAACACUGACUAUUACACUUCCAUGGUGCAUGAUACAUGCACUGGUAUUAUUAGACUAAUAACACAUCCAGUAUUUUUUUAAAGUCUGUGUGGGAGGAGAUAAGGAAAGUCAAAAUGAACCGACUACACCUGUUAUCUGGGCAUUUGGCAUUCCUAGCAACUGCCAUGCCCAGGAAGCCAAUCAACAGAUGACAGGGAGGAUGCAAAUUGCAAUAUCAUCUUCAAUGUGCUAAUAUACACGGGUGCUGGCAAUCCAACUGGAAGGGGGUGAGCUUAUUAAAUGUGGCAUGCUGCAAUUUACAUAUCUCACCCCCUAGAUGUGAGGAGUGUGUGUGAAUGAGAAUGGAGAGUGAGCAGAUCAGCAGGGGAUACAGAGGCAAAACGGCGUUGAACUCUUGGACUAUCAAUUUGGCCAACUGCAGAACCAGUGACAGCCAGUGAAAUGACUGACUUUUCCCUAAAACAUAUCUGGCUUUGCUACUCCUCUGCCAUCUUCUGGAACAGCAUGGAAGACAGCAUGCCUGAGCUUAGCUGGUCAUUCUGUGCACAGGCCCUGUCAGCUUCCUGACAGUGAGGGUGAGUGAGACUGAACAUUGGAUACUGCCCACAGCAGCAGGAGAAACUGACUCCAUCUUUAGAAAGAGGAGCCCUGUAAACUGGAAUAUCUCCUACAAGGCCUCAUGCUUGCUGGGGGAAACACACGAUGGUGACACCAUGUAAGAGAGAGAGGCAGAAGAAGAGCGCAAGUACCAGAGUGGAACACGGUAAGGCUUCAGCCACUCCUUGCUCUGUGUGGCCUGGAUCAGGAGUUCAAUUGCUUCAACUGAAGAGGGAAAUGGUGGGGUCUACCUUUAUCCUAAGGGCUCUGACAGUCUUUAAGACAUACCGACUCUACUUUUACCAACAUUAUUAUUAUUAAUUUUUGUUAGUAUGUGUUUGUUCGUGUUAUAGAUGAAAUGAUUAUCUUCUAAAAUGAACUGUUCAAUAA